GGGUCAGUAGGUUGGUCGUGCCACCGGUACGUACUGGUCUCACUGAUUCCUCCUUCCUGAAGAAUCGUAAUGCCAUUAAUUUGGUGCUGCGGGGAAACAGGACUGGUACUUUGAAAAAAUUAGAGUGUUUAAAGCAAGCUAACGCUUGAACACAUUAGCAUGGAAUAAUGAAAUAGGACGAUCGAUCCUAUUUUGUUGGUUUCUAGGAUUGACGUA
rnacentral:rRNA from 1 species